rnacentral:lncRNA from 1 species
CCCUGAUAUAAGGAUGUGAAGUGCCGAGCUGUUUUAAUUCUCAGUUUGUUAGCAUAGAGCCGGAGCUGAAUAGCAAACGUUGCUCUCCCAUGUGUGGAUUUGGAGCAGGAAUCAAUUUGCUGGGAGAGUGGGGAAAGAUGGCCCUCCCACAGCAGCGUCUUUUCUGGACCUGUAUCCCAAAGAGAUCUUAAAGGAGGGAAAAGGACCCACGUGUGCAAAAUGUUUGUGGCGGCCCUUUUUGUGGUGGCAAAGAACUGGAAAAUGAGUGGACGCCCAUCCGUUGGGAAUGGCUGAACAAGUGGUGGUAUAUGAAGGGCCAGCGUCCUGAUUCAUACCAUGUCACUGGACCCAAGUGGCUCUGGAGGAGAACAUGGAGCUUGUGCCUGUGCAAAGCCCUCCCUUGCUUCCAUCUAAUUCAUUUGAUUGUCGUGGUAUUACCUCCUUGAUGUCAUGAUCCUCUUGAAGAACGAAAGACGAACAAGAAACAAAGAAAGAACAAAAAUGCUUCAUGCAGCUCCAAGACUCUUGCAAAGAAGCUGCUAAUGGUAUUGCUAGAGGAAGUUUUCUCAUCUGGGAGUUCUCUUACC